ensembl:misc_RNA
AAGGACUCCAGGGCUGGAGCCCCCGCCUGGCUCUCCGCUCGGGAAUUUAGAUUCGAAAAGAGCUUUCGGAGG